UACUUUUAUAUUGUAUUUUCAAGUGGGAACAUGCACAACUCCAUGCUUUUGCCAUGCCCCCUUCCCCCAAUAAAUAAUGUAAUAAAAAUUUCAGAACAAAGCAAAAUGGAACCUUCUGCCCUGAGUGCAGAUUCAGCAUUUUUGACAUUCCUGUUUCUGAAACCAAAAUGUUGGUGUUGAGCUCUUUUCCCACAGAGGAGCUUAAAUUCCUUCUGGAUUUGACUUCUCCCUUAUAAGCAGUUAGCUCAUAAUCUUAAAAAAAUCCAGUCGAGGCUCUUUUCCAAUUAAAGGGCUACAGGAAGGAGUCCUGCACUCCCGCACACAAUGAGGAGUCAGGAGGUCAAAACCAUUGUUGGUGUGGAGAUGUCACAUGAGGAACUCGCAGUUCCAAGUAUUACAACUCAACUGCUGUUUCGGAUCCGUCUUCUUUCCUCUUUCCCAGCCAGGCAAGUGUCUAACCACUUCUGUCCUCAUGGAGUCAUUCUACUGAUACUGCUACGAGAACUCUACUGUGUGCCAACAUCUGUGUUGUUUCCAGUUGGGCUGUGCCAAAUCUUGAGUAAGCCACUCCCACUUGUUCCCUAAUACCCCACCCAGGAGAGAACACAAUGCCUUUCUUGGUGGACAUUUGUUGAAAAUAUGACUUCAAACUAGCCAUGUGGUCACUUCUUUCCUAGCUUUUGUAUGGACAAUAAACUCCCAUUAGAAAAAAAUUUACUCAGAGUUUCCACUAUUUUCCCAGAUAAAUAGGCUGGGAAGUCAGGCUCCUGUGUUUCAAUACACCAUUCCAGUCCUGUUAAAAAUAGACAUGUUUCUAGAUGCAUUCUCGUGACUGAUCAUGAAGGGAGGUUCAGUAUAUCAAUUUAUUUUCUAAAUUUCCAUCUAACCCUUUCAUUUCCCUGCACCUUUGUGUUUUUAAAGGUUUAUGUGUAUGACUGUAUUUCCUGCAUAUCUGUAUAUGCACUCCAUGCAUGCCAUUGGCCAAGGAGACUAAAAGAGAGGGUUAGACCCCCUAGGACUGGGGUUACAGACAACUGUGGGUUGCCGUGUAGGUGCUGGGACUCAAGCCUGGGUCUCUGCAAGAACAAACACUCUUGACCUCUGAGCAAUUUCUCCGGCUCCUGUUGUGUUUUGAAAGAAGAUCUCAGUAGCCUAGGCUGGUCUUGAACUCCUGACCCUCCUGCUGCCCAUGUGCUAGGAUUACUGGGGUGCUCCACCAAGAGAAAGACAGUUCCUAAAUGGCAACAUUCAAAGCAACACCUGUGUUAUUUAAGGGAUGAUAUUUUAAAAAUUCAAAAUACUUUAAAAACAUUUAUUUGUAUGUGUACUUUUAAUGUGUUAUGGGUAUUUUAUGUACUUGUACCAUGGGCAUUGCCUGGCGCCUUUAGAAGUCAAAAAGGGCAUCGGAUCCUCUGGAACUGUAGCUAGAUGGUUGUGAGCUGCCAUGUGGAUCCUGGGAAUCGAAUCUAAGUCAUCUGCAAGAGAUCUGAUGAUGCCUCUGCCUCCAAGGGCACCCAAACUCAGGUGCUUAUGCCAACCAUUAUGGAAAACUGCAAACAACCCAGAGGCCUAUUGCUAUAUGGACGGAUGGAUCAACAAGUCAGAGUAUAACGGGGAAGGAUUAAGUAUAAAAAGGUAGAGACUUUUAAGAUACGUACUUCAUGGAAUGAAAUACCAACAUUUUGCUAUGAGAAGUUAGACCCAAAGAUUACAGCAGCAGAUUGAGCCCUAGGGAUAUUGGGAUCAGGGUUAAAGAAACUGGGAGAGGGGGAGGAAAGGAAAAAGAACACAGUGUGGAGUUACAUAACUUUAAAAAAUGGAAAAUUACCCUACCAUGUUAGAAAUAAGUUUAGAAUGCAAGAGACUGAGUUCCCGACUCGUCCAAGUGUCACAGCUAAACCUGUUCUCUACAACACUGGGCUGGAGAGAUGGCUCAGCAGUUAAGAGGGUUUGCUGCUUUUGCAGAGAACCCAGGUUCAGUUCCCAGCAUUCACAUCAGGUGGCUUACAACUGCCACUUAACUCCAUCCAGAUCUGACUUCCUGGAACUUUUGGUUUCUGCAAGCGGGCACACUCAGGUGCACACACGUACACAUGAAAUAAAAAGAAAUCUUAUAAGUUAACGGCCCCAGCCAUCCCCAAACAAAACUCGAGUUCUGUGGCUCAGGCUUGGGAGGCAGGGGUAGGGCCAGAAAUGUAAGACCAUACUGUAGGGUGAGUUCGAGGACAUCCUGUGCUGCCUUUAGUCUCUGUCCAAACAAAAAUCAAAUUAAAGUCGCCCAGGGCAGAGGUGGUUAGUGGGUAACGGCGGUCUGGGGGCUUCCCGAAGUGAGGGUGGGAGGUGAAAGUGCGUCAAGAGAAAAUGUGGAUCCAUUUGCAAAACCUCGGUAUCAACUGGAAACAGAAAGUCCUCCAGGGCGACUGUGGGGGUGGCAGCAGGAAGGGACAGCCAGGCCUGUGCCGAGGAAGAACGCGACCCGUGUAUUCCGGUUUUAAGAGACGGCAGGGGCGGGGCAGGGAGAGAAGUACCAAAAAGUUUUGAGUCUUGAUGAUGGCGGCGGAGCGAAUCGCCGGAGAUGCCGGAAUUCCCACACUGGCCUUCCAGGGUCGCCCACGCGAGGCGACCCACACGGCCCCGACAGCCCAAGGCUCGGGCCAUCAGUAGCGCCACAGGCCGCAGCCCACAGGGGCUCGGGCGCGCCGGGAGGCCGGGCUGGAGGCCGGGCGCGUCGCUCUGACGUCACGCGCGCGCUGACGUCGCCGGCAGCCGCAGCCUCUGAAGCGGGGCUGGGACCGGGGGGCGCCGAGUUUGAUUAGUUUAGGGGGGCCGUCCCCCGCCGGCCGCCGCACCCCAGGCAGCGGCGUCUCUGCGUGUCGGCGCGUCCCGGAGGCUUCACCGCCGCGCCUCGGCGGUGCUGCGAGGAAAGUUGGCGUGUAAGGGGCGACGGGCGUGUGAGGGGUGGCGGGCGCGGCCAUGGAGCCCCGCGGCGCCGAGUACUUCUGCGCCCAAGUGCUGCAGAAGGACGUGAGCGGCCGGCUGCAGGCGGGCGAGGAGCUGCUGCUCUGCCUCGGCACGCCCGGAGCCAUCCCGGACCUGGAGGACGAUCCGAGCCGCCUGGCUAAGACCGUGGACGCGCUCACCCGCUGGGUGGGCUCGAGCAACUACCGGGUAUCGUUGUUAGGAUUGGAGAUUUUAAGUGCCUUUGUGGAUAGAUUGUCAACACGAUUCAAAUCUUAUGUAACAAUGGUUACCACAGCUUUAAUAGACAGAAUGGGAGAUGUCAAAGACAAAGUUCGAGAAGAAGCUCAGAACCUGACACUGAAGCUGAUGGAUGAGGUGGCGCCGCCUAUGUACAUCUGGGAGCAGCUAGCUUCUGGCUUCAAGCACAAGAACUUUCGAUCUCGAGAAGGCGUGUGCCUGUGUCUUAUUGAGACCUUGAACAUCUUUGGGACUCAACCACUGGUCAUCAGCAAGUUGGUGCCGCAUUUAUGUGUCUUAUUUGGAGACUCUAACAGUCAGGUGAGAAAUGCUGCACUAUCAGCUGUAGUGGAGAUUUAUAGACACGUAGGAGAGAAGCUGAGGAUUGAUUUGUGUAAAAGAGACAUUCCCCCUGCUAGAUUAGAAAUGGUACUUGCCAAAUUUGAUGAAGUUCAGAAUUCUGGCGGUAUGAUUUUGAGCGUCUGCAAAGAUAAAAGCUUUGAUGAUGAGGAAUCAGUGGAUGGAAAUAGGCCGUCGUCAGCUGCUUCAGCCUUCAAGGUUCCUGCACCUAAAACACCUGGGAAUCCUGUCAGCAGUGCAAGAAAGCCUGGCUCAGCAGGUGGCCCUAAGGUUGGAGGUCCUUCUAAAGAAGGAGGGGCUGGAGCAGUUGAUGAAGAUGACUUUAUAAAAGCUUUUACAGAUGUUCCUUCUGUUCAGAUCUAUUCUAGUCGAGAACUUGAAGAGACGUUAAAUAAGAUCAGGGAAAUUUUGUCAGAUGACAAACAUGACUGGGACCAGCGUGCCAAUGCGCUUAAGAAAAUCAGAUCACUGCUUGUUGCUGGAGCCGCACAGUAUGAUUGCUUUUUCCAGCACCUACGUUUGUUGGAUGGAGCGCUUAAGCUGUCAGCUAAGGACCUCAGAUCCCAGGUGGUCAGGGAAGCUUGCAUCACUGUUGCUCACCUUUCAACAGUCUUGGGAAACAAAUUUGAUCACGGCGCUGAAGCCAUCGUCCCUACGCUUUUUAAUCUUGUCCCCAAUAGUGCCAAAGUCAUGGCGACCUCUGGAUGUGCAGCAAUCAGAUUUAUUAUUCGGCAUACCCAUGUACCUAGACUUAUUCCUUUAAUAACAAGCAACUGCACAUCAAAGUCAGUUCCUGUAAGGAGACGUUCAUUUGAAUUUUUAGAUUUGCUGCUGCAAGAAUGGCAGACUCAUUCACUGGAAAGACAUGCAGCUGUUUUGGUUGAAACGAUUAAGAAGGGCAUUCAUGAUGCUGAUGCUGAGGCCAGAGUGGAGGCAAGGAAGACAUACAUGGGCCUUAGGAACCACUUUCCUGGUGAAGCUGAAACAUUGUACAACUCCCUUGAGCCAUCAUAUCAGAAAAGUCUUCAAACUUACUUAAAGAGUUCUGGAAGUGUAGCUUCUCUUCCGCAGUCAGACAGGUCCUCAUCCAGCUCACAAGAAAGUCUCAAUCGUCCUUUUUCUUCUAAAUGGUCAACAGCAAAUCCUUCAACUGUAGCUGGAAGAGUAUCUGUGGGAGGCAGCAAAGCCAACCCCCUUCCAGGAAGCCUGCAGCGUUCUCGAAGUGACAUUGAUGUGAAUGCGGCAGCUGGUGCCAAGGCUCAUCAUGCUGCUGGGCAGGCGGUGCGAAGUGGGCGCUUAGGUGCAGGUGCCCUGAACCCAGGCUCCUAUGCAUCACUAGAGGAUACUUCUGACAAGAUGGAUGGAACAGCAUCUGAUGAUGGUCGGGUGAGAGCCAAGCUUUCUACACCGCUUGUUGCUGUGGGAAAUGCCAAGACCGACUCUAGAGGGAGAAGCCGGACAAAAAUGGUGUCUCAGUCCCAGCGUUCAUCAUCACCUGACAAAAAUGAAGGAUCACAAUCUGCUAAUACCAUUGGUGCUGGCAGCCGAUCUGGGUCUCCAGGAAGAGUUCUAACCACAACAGCCCUCUCUACUGUGAGCUCUGGUGCUCAACGAGUCCUGGUCAAUUCAGCUUCAGCACAGAAGAGAAGCAAGAUCCCAAGGAGCCAGGGCUGCAGCAGAGAGGCCAGCCCAUCUCGGCUCUCAGUGGCCCGGAGCAGCCGUAUUCCUCGGCCGAGUGUGAGUCAAGGCUGUAGCCGGGAAGCCAGCAGAGAGAGCAGCAGGGACACGAGUCCGGUGCGCUCCUUCCAGCCGCUGGCCUCCAGACACCAUUCCAGAUCCACUGGUGCCCUCUACGCCCCCGAUGUGUGUGGGGCCUCAGGUCCGGGAUAUGGGAUCAGCCAGUCCAGCCGGUUGUCGUCCUCUGUCAGUGCCAUGCGAGUCCUAAACACAGGCUCCGAUGUGGAGGAGGCAGUAGCUGAUGCCCUGCUCUUAGGAGACAUACGGACUAAGAAAAAACCUGCUCGAAGAAGGUAUGAAUCAUAUGGAAUGCACUCAGAUGAUGAUGCCAACAGCGAUGCCUCUAGUGCGUGUUCAGAACGCUCCUAUAGCUCUCGAAAUGGUAGUAUUCCUACCUACAUGAGACAGACAGAAGACGUGGCAGAAGUCCUCAACAGAUGUGCUAGCUCCAAUUGGUCAGAGAGGAAAGAAGGCCUCUUGGGUCUGCAGAACUUGUUAAAAAACCAGAGAACGCUAAGUCGAGUUGAACUGAAAAGAUUAUGUGAAAUUUUCACAAGAAUGUUUGCAGAUCCUCAUGGCAAGAGAGUGUUCAGCAUGUUCUUGGAGACUCUAGUAGAUUUCAUACAAGUCCACAAAGAUGAUCUUCAAGAUUGGUUGUUUGUUCUGCUGACACAGCUGCUGAAAAAAAUGGGUGCUGAUUUGCUUGGCUCUGUUCAGGCAAAAGUUCAGAAAGCCCUUGAUAUUACAAGAGAGUCUUUUCCAAAUGAUCUUCAGUUUAAUAUCCUAAUGAGAUUUACAGUUGACCAGACCCAAACGCCAAGCUUGAAGGUAAAGGUGGCUAUCCUUAAGUACAUAGAAACUCUGGCAAAGCAGAUGGACCCAAGAGAUUUUACAAAUUCCAGUGAAACUCGCCUGGCAGUGUCUCGGGUCAUCACUUGGACGACAGAGCCCAAAAGCUCUGAUGUUCGGAAGGCAGCGCAGUCAGUGCUGAUUUCUUUAUUUGAACUCAAUACCCCAGAGUUUACAAUGUUACUAGGAGCUUUACCAAAAACUUUCCAGGAUGGUGCUACUAAACUUCUUCACAAUCACCUCCGGAACACUGGCAAUGGCACCCAGACUUUGUUGCACUCCCCUGUGCUGACGAUCUUCUUACUCCCUCCCUCAGAGUUCCAUGGGGAGUCCUUUGACGAGACCAACACCUCGGUCACCAGCCAACUGGUCCAGUCCUCUUACUUCUCCUACCAACACGUCUCAGAAUACGUUAUCUCCAAGUGCAUUUGAUUACGAUACAGAGAACAUGAAUUCUGAAGACAUUUAUAGCUCCCUUAGAGGCGUCACUGAGGCAAUCCAGAAUUUCAGCUUCAGAAGCCAAGAAGAUAUGAGUGAGCCAGUGAGGAGGGACCCUAAAAAGGAGGAUGGUGACACAAUAUGUAGUGGUCCUGGGAUGUCAGAUCCAAGAGCAGGAGGUGAUGCUGCUGACGGCAGCCAGCCAGCUCUGGAUAAUAAAGCAUCGUUGCUCCACUCAAUGCCACUCCACUCCUCUCCACGCUCCCGUGACUAUAACCCAUAUAACUACUCAGAUAGCAUCAGUCCUUUCAACAAGUCUGCCCUCAAGGAAGCCAUGUUUGAUGAUGACGCCGACCAAUUUCCUGAUGAUCUUUCCUUAGACCAUUCUGACCUAGUUGCAGAGUUGUUGAAGGAGCUGUCUAAUCAUAAUGAACGUAUAGAAGAAAGAAAAAUUGCCCUGUAUGAACUCAUGAAGCUAACCCAGGAAGAAUCUUUCAGUGUUUGGGAUGAACACUUCAAAACAAUAUUAUUGUUAUUGCUUGAGACCCUUGGGGAUAAAGAGCCUACAAUCCGGGCCUUGGCAUUAAAAGUUUUAAAAGAAAUCUUAAGGCAUCAACCAGCAAGAUUCAAAAACUAUGCAGAACUAACUGUCAUGAAAACACUGGAAGCACAUAAAGAUCCUCACAAAGAGGUGGUGAGAUCUGCUGAGGAAGCUGCCUCCGUAUUGGCUACUUCCAUUAGUCCAGAGCAGUGCAUCAAAGUGCUUUGUCCCAUCAUACAAACCGCUGACUACCCUAUUAAUCUGGCUGCAAUCAAAAUGCAAACAAAAGUGAUAGAGAGAGUAUCCAAGGAGACCCUUAACAUGCUCUUACCAGAGAUCAUGCCGGGUCUAAUACAGGGUUAUGAUAAUUCAGAAAGCAGUGUCCGGAAAGCUUGUGUCUUCUGCCUGGUGGCUGUCCAUGCAGUGAUUGGUGAUGAACUAAAGCCACAUCUCAGUCAACUCACUGGUAGUAAAAUGAAGCUGCUGAACCUUUACAUCAAGCGUGCACAGACGGGCUCUGCAGGCGCGGACCCCACUGCUGAUGUUUCUGGACAGAGUUAGUGCUGCCGACGGCGCCUCCCAGUCUCUGAGAGGACAACUGGCUGCCCUCCUCAAGGAAAGGACACUCAAGUACAGCUUUGGGACUCAGCUGCGGUUUCCCAGGUCUAGCUUUUCGUUUUGUUCUGUUUUGUAUUUUCUGUAACAGAGGGGUGUCCUCAGUCUGCAUGUAACUUUAUGAUAGUUAUUCCAAGUUCAGGAGAAGCAGUAUUAACAUCAGUUGAUCAGUACAAAGUAAUUUUUUAAUCUAAUUCACCAUUUCACAUGUUUGUACUUCUUUGUCUUCCCAUUAACCUUUGCCAGUGUUAUGAUUGUAUACAUUUUUAAAAAUGCUGGUUAAACAGGAAUGCUUAAAGCUUUAAAAGUUUUAACAGUCUAAACUUUGUUUUGCCUUCAUUCAACUGCAGAAGAAUAUUUUUAUUGUUACUUUUGUUCUGUAUCAUGUCCUAUGCUAGAAAUACUGACAAUAAUGUGAGACAAAGCAGGGCUACGUGGCACUCCAGCCAGACUCUGUGGAUGUGCGCUGAUGCUCGUCAUCAGCAGCAACUCCUUUGGGAUGACCUCAAUGAGAAAUGUCAUGGAACCAGCCAGUUCUGUAAGACUGACGAUAGUGUCUGUCGGUUCUUGAUCUUGCCACCUUUAUUUAAAGCCGUGUCCCUUCUUUUACCCCGUAAGAAAGCUGCACCAGAUCACCUGCCUAGGUUUCCAUGAGAAUUAUUACAAUGGGAGGUUUUGUUGCAGAGCCUUUUGGUUUAUCUUUGUUGUGAAUGAUGCUUUUUGUUGUAUUUAUUAAUAUCAAAUUCACUUAUGAAUAGACUUGAUAAUGGAAACAGAUGAGAAAAAUCAAGUGCAUGUGUGUCUUUGACUAUUCUGUUUCUCAUUUGAUAAACUAAUUAUUGACAUGGGAGUCAACCAGCACCUUUUUGUUGAAUGGUGGAACCUGGUUUCCUUUGACCAUGAAAUUGUCUUCUGGAAACAUGGGUCCUGAUGAGAGAGAAGAUGCUGCAAGAGGCUUCUGUCCAUUGGGCUCUCACUCUACCUCUCAGGGCUGACAUUUUAACUGACCCGCUUCCUGGAGUGUCUUGUCUUGGAAAACUACUUCAAAGGAGAUGUUUUGUUACCUUUUAACAUUUUUUUAAAUCACCUCUGCUAAAGUUAUUUUCGUGUGCAGCCAACUUUCAAAUAUUACCAGUUUGGGUGAAAGGCCAAAUUUGGUGAUUUGGAACCAGGAUACUAUUGAUUUCUCAUCUUGACUUUUUUUUUUUUUUUUUUUUUUUUUUAAAUCCUAACAUAAGAUGAAUUUGACUGGAAAGCAAAUGGCUGUUAGGGAAGCAGUUUGCUAUUGUUACAGAGUUACCUAUACUUUGUUCAGCUGGAAAAAUGUAGAAAUGUAUGUAAAGAAAGUAAGCCGAGAAAACUGGAUGGAUGAUUGGUCAUAGGCUUUUUCUUUCCUUUGUUUUUCCGUUUUAGCAGCAAGAAGAGAUAUUACUCCACACCCUCUCCCUACUGUAACAGUUUUGUUUUCUACUGUUAAUGACAUUGUGUAUUUAUAGCUCUAUGCUUACUGUUGUGCAUAUACUGGCAAUAAAACUGUACAUAACAUUACUUGAA